rnacentral:rRNA from 1 species
UACAGAGGCCUCGAGCGUUAGGCGGAAUCACUGGGCUUAAAGCGUGUGUAGGCGGAUUGGUAAGUACCUUGUGAAAUCCCACAGCUUAACUGUGGAACUGCUCGGUAUACUGCUUAUCUUGAGCCACUCAGGGGCUACCGGAACAAAUGGUGGAGCGGUGAAAUGCGUAGAUAUCAUUUGGAACGCCAAUGGUGAAAACAGGUAGCUGGGGGUGUGCUGACGCUGAGACACGAAAGCCAGGGGAGCGAACGGG